rnacentral:rRNA from 1 species
UACGUAGGGUGCAAGCGUUAAUCGGAAUUACUGGGCGUAAAGCGUGCGCAGGCGGUGAUGUAAGACAGAUGUGAAAUCCCCGGGCUCAACCUGGGAACUGCAUUUGUGACUGCAUCGCUGGAGUGCGGCAGAGGGGGAUGGAAUUCCGCGUGUAGCAGUGAAAUGCGUAGAUAUGCGGAGGGACACCGAUGGCGAAGGCAAUCCCCUGGGCCUGCACUGACGCUCAUGCACGAAAGCGUGGGGAGCAAACAGG